rnacentral:rRNA from 1 species
UCAAGCUACUAAGGGCAUACGGCGGAUGCCUAGGCGCCAUCAGCCGAUGAAGGACGCGGUAAGCUGCGAAAAGCUACGGGGAACUGCAAGCAAGUAUUGAUCCGUAGAUGUCCGAAUGGGGAAACCCAACUACCGUUAUGGGUAGUUAUCCGAAAGGAAGGGAACCCGGGGAACUGAAACAUCUAAGUACCCGGAGGAAGAGAAAUCAAACGAGAUGCCCACAGUAGCGGCGAGCGAAGAGGGCAGAGCCCAAACCAGAGAGCUACGGCUCUUUGGGGUUGAGGAUCAGCAUAAUCAAAGUCAGGCCCAGUCGAAUUACCUGGAAAGGUAAACAAGAGAGUGUGAAAGUCACGUAGACGAAGGGCAGAGCGGCGAGGCUGAAAUCCAGAGUACCACGAGGCACGAGGAAUCUUGUGGGAAACAGGGGGGACCACCCUCCAAGGCUAAACACUGAAUGGCGACCGAUAGCGCAUAGUACCGUGAGGGAAAGGUGAAAAGAACCCCGGGAGGGGAGUGAAAGAGAACCUGAAACCGUAUGUCUACAAGCAGUCGGAGCGAAAGCGACGGCGUGCCUAUUGAAGAAUGAACCAACGAGUUACGUGCACUAGCGAGGUUAAGUGGAAGACACGGAGCCGAAGCGAAAGCGAGUCUUAAUAGGGCGGAUAGUUAGUGUACGUAGACCCGAAACCGCAGUGAUCUACCCAUGUCCAGGUUGAAGCGCAGGUAAAAUUGCGUGGAGGACCGAACCUGUGAGCGUUGAAAAGCUUUAGGAUGAGAUGUGGGUAGAGGUGAAAUUCCAAUCGAACGCGGAGAUAGCUGGUUCUCCCCGAAAUAGCUUUAGGGCUAGCCUCAAGUAGUAAGUAUAGGCGGUAGAGCACUGAUCGGGCUAGGGGCCAUAAAGGUUACCGAACCCUGUCAAACUCCGAAUGGUUAUACUGCAGAGCUUGGGAGUCAGACUACGAGUGAUAAGAUCCGUGGUCAAAAGGGAAACAGCCCAGACCACCAGCUAAGGUCCCAAAUGCCGUACUAAGUGGAAAAGGAUGUGGGGUCUCGAAAACAACCAGGAUGUUGGCUCAGAAGCAGCCACCAUUUAAAGAGUGCGUAAUAGCUCACUGGUCGAGAGACCCUGCGCCGAAGAUUACCGGGGCUAAAGUACGGAACCGAAGCUGUGGCUGUGUACGAAAGUACACGGGGUAGGGGAGCGUUCCCACAGGGUUGAAGUUGUGCUGAAAGGCAUGGUGGACUUGUGGGAAGUGAGAAUGUUGGUAUGAGUAGCGAAAAGAAAGGUGAGAAUCCUUUCCACCGAAAGCAUAAGGAUUCCUGGGCAACGAUCGUCGUCCCAGGGUAAGUCGGGACCUAAUCCGAGGCAUGGAGCGUAGGAGAUGGACAACUGGCAGAUAUUCCAGUACCGGUAAUGAUUGUUUGAGCGACGGAGUGACACAGGAGGGCAGGCAGGCAGGAGAUUGGUUGUUCCUGUAUAAGCGUGUAGGAUGAAACAUAGGCAAAUCCGUGUUUCGGAAGUCUGAGGCGUGAUGUGGAGUGUCCAGAGAUGGACGCGAAGCUGCUGACCCCACACUGUCGAGAAAAGCUUCUAGUUAGAGAAUUACCGCCCGUACCGUAAACCGACACAGGUAUGCGGGGAGAGAAUCCUAAGGUGCGCGGGAGAACCCUCGUUAAGGAACUCGGCAAAAUGUACCCGUAACUUCGGGAUAAGGGUAGCCGCUGUUGUGAAGUCUGAACAGACGGAGCAUGAGGCGGUCGCAGAGAAGAGGCCCAAGCGACUGUUUACCACAAACACAGGUGCCUGCUAAAGAGAAAUCUGACGUAUAGGUGCUGACACCUGCCCAGUGCCGGAAGGUUAAGGAAGGAUGUCCGGAGCAAUCCAAAGCAUUCGACCGAAGCCCCGGUGAACGGCGGCCGUAACUAUAACGGUCCUAAGGUAGCGAAAUUCCUUGUCGGGUAAGUUCCGACCCGCACGAAAGGUGU